AAAAUGCACAGAGAGGUAACUUUAUCACAGUACGCAAAUAGGGUGAUAAACUUUUAAAGCUUUUUUUUCUCCACUGUCCUACUAGUAGCAGAAGCAGUAGAAAUACAGGAGGAAAAUAUACAUUUUGGCAAGUAUACAUUUCUGCCUGUCCCUGCCCCAGUGAAGUUUACAAUCUGAGGUCACUGUCACAUUUCCAUCAGCCUCUGCGCCCGUGGAGUUUACAGUCUAAUUCGCUGUCACAUUCUCACUAGUCCUUGUCAGUGGAGCUUACAAUCUAUAGUCUGUAUAACAUUCCCAUCGGUCCUUAUCCCAAUAAGCUUACAAUUGAAGGCCCCUAUCCCAUUCCCAUUAGUCUUUGCCUAGUGGAGCUUACAAUCCAAGGUCCCUAUCAUAUUCCCACUAGUCCCUGCCCAGUGGAGUUUACAAUCUAUAAGUUCCCUAUCACAUUCCCACUUGUCUCUGCCCAUUGGCACUUACAAUUUAAGGACCCUAUCACAUUUCCAUAAGCCUCUGCCCCAGUGAUGUAGUAAUUCUAGGUCCCUAUCACAUUUGUAUCUCUCCCUGCACCAGUGAGCUUACAAUCUAAGGUACCUAUUCCAUUCCCAUCAGUCCAUGCCUAGUGGAGCUUUCAGUCUAAGGCCCUUAUCACAUAACCCAUCUACCCUGCCUCAGUGAUCUUACAAUCUAUGCCCUCUAUUACAUUACCAUCAAUCCCUGCCCCUGAGAGUUUACAAUCUAAGGUCCCUGUCCCAGUGAAGCUUAUAAUCGAAAGCCCCUAUCACAAUCCUAUCAGUUCCUCACCCUGUAAGUUUACAAUCUAAGGUCCCUAUCACAUUCCCAUCUGUCCCUGUUCCAGUGAAUUUACAAUCUAAGGUCCCUGGAAUCAUUCUAGGUAGGUAGAAUUGGGCCAAGCAGUAAUUAUAUUUCCAUGUGAUGCCUUACUAUUCCACACAUAUUCUCUUCCAUUCUGCCCAAAUCCCUGGAAAUAAUCAGUCUUUGUUUGUGUGCCAGGGAGCUCUUUGGAGAAGUUCAUCUCUGCACAGAAAAGUCCACUGGCCUGAACCUUGUGGUGAAAGUUCUCAGCAGUAAAGAUCGGGAGAUGCCUUUAAAUGAAAUCCAAGUGAUGAACCAGUUGGAUCACCCUUAUAUCAUCCAGAUGUUUGAUGAGGUGGAGAUGCCUAAUGAGAUCUUUUUCAUUCUAGAAUAAGGAUGUCGAUGCCCAGAAAAUGGCACCUCCAACAGGCGGCAUCCCUGAACUGCAGCCAGAGCAGAUGGGGCAUCUUGCUCUUCAUUUCAGGAGAUUGAAAUUACGGAAAGGCUGUAUCCCAUAGACUCCAUUUUAUCAAAAUAAGCCAAAAUUUUAAAAAUGAUUUCCUAUUUCUCUGUAAUAAUACAACAGUAACUUGUACUUAAUCCCAACUAAGAUAUAAUUAAUCCUUAUUGGAAGCAAAACCAGCCUAUUGGUUUUAUUUAAUGUUUACAUGAUUUUAAGGUAUGAAGAUCCAGAUUACGGAAAGAGUUAUUGGACGUUCCCAUUCUCAUACUGCAUCUAUAUAUUUAGCUAUUUAUAUCUAUCUGUGUUUAUUUUAUGGCAGCAUUAAGGACUCGGAUUUUCAAGCAUCACUUAGACGUGGGACACAACAGCCAAGCAUACGACGCAUUAACUCAAAUCCCAGAUCCUAGCAGGCAACUGGACUGUUUACGGCAGCUCAUAGUGGUUCUGUGUGAGUGCUCCCAGCUGCAGGACCUUGUAGAGUUUCUAUAUGUAAAUCUCCAUAAUGAGACCAAGUGACCAAUGCAGAAAAUAUUCCCCCGGACCAGAAACUUGUGUAAAUGCUGGUCUGCCAGGAGGAUGUCUAAGAAACAUCAGCAGAAGAUCCUCAUAAAAAUGAAGGAGACGCAUCUGGAAAAAGAGACCGCACAAUCUUAAUACUCACCAUGCAAAAAACGAAAAGGGUCCAGUACUAAAGACAGUAAUCAGGGACCAACCCACAAGCAAGUUAGCAGCGGGGGAGGAUUUAGCCCUCAGACAGAAACCAAGGUUCAGCAGACUUCUACUUCAACUAGUGCUAUUAUGUAGAGAAGCACAGGAUCCUCAAUACUAUGACUGAAGAUAGCCUUUCUGGUUCCAUGAUUCAAGAAGGCUUUGAGCUGGCUACAGCAUAAAGGGCCAAGGAGCGCCAGGAGGUUGAGAAGUGCUUGGCAGAGAUGGAAGCUCAAAAGAGCCUUUUGGAAGAAGAGACCUGAAAGCAACGGGAAGAGGAAGAAAGGGAAGAGAUCAAUCAGCUGAGGCAAGAGCUGCCAGUCCAGUCAAACAGAGGAGGAAGGCUUUACAGGACCAACAGGACUCAAGACCAUGAAGCCAAGAAAUUGGGGGUACUAGCACUGAGGGCUGAACCGUCCCUCUACUUGACCCCUCUACUGCCUUGUAAGGACACGGUGGAAGAGCAGAUCCAGAGAACACAACUAACAGCCUCUCCCAGUCCUAGUAGGGGCAGGAAAACACAGGACACACCAGGAAUGCAUAUAAUGCACAGAGAGGGGGCUCUUCGGAGAAGUUCAUCUCUGCACAAAGUCCACUGGCCUGAACCUUGUGGUGAAAGUUCUCAGCAGUAAAGAUCGGGAGAUGCCUUUAAAUGAAAUCCAAGUGAUGAACCAGUUGGAUCACCCUUAUAUCAUCCAGAUGUUUGAUGAGGUGGAGAUGCCUAAUGAGAUCUUUUUCAUUCUAGAAUAAGGAUGGCGAUGCCCAGAAAAUGGCACCUCCAACAGGCGGCAUCCCUGAACUGCAGCCCGCAGCGGCAAAACCUACUGGCAGCAUUAAGGACUCGGAUUUUCAAGCAUCACUUAGACAUGGGACACAACAGCCAAGCAUACGACCCAUUAACUCAAAUCCCAGAUCCUAGCAGGCAACUGGACUGUUUACGGCAGCUCAUAGUGGUUCUGUGUGAGUGCUCCCAGCUGCAGGACCUUGUAGAGUUUCCAUAUGUAAAUCUCCAUAAUGAGACCAAGUGACCAAUGCAGAAAAUAUUCCCCCGGACCAGAAACUUGUGUAAAUGCUGGUCCAGUACUAAAGACAGUAAUCAGGGACCAACCCACAAGCAAGUUAGCAGCGGGGGAGGAUUUAGCCCUCAGACAGAAACCAAGGUUCAGCAGACUUCUACUUCAACUAGUGCUAUUAUGUAGAGAAGCACAGGAUCCUCAAUACUAUGACUGAAGGUAAACAAGUUAGGGACCGCCAUAUGGG